GACGGAGGAGGCAAGCGUUAUCCGGAAUUAUUGGGCGUAAAGGGUAAGUCGGCGGCUUGUCAAGUCUGGGGUCAAAGGCCACAGCUCAACUGUGGAAAGGCCCUGGAAACUGACCGGCUAGAGUGAGGUAGGGGUUGCGGGAAUUCCCGGUGUAGCGGUGAAAUGCGUAGAGAUCGGGAAGAACACCUGAGGCGGAAGCGCGCAACUGGGCCCCAACUGACGCUGAGGUACGAAAGCUAGGGGAGCGAAGGGG
rnacentral:rRNA from 1 species